CUCCCCCGCCGCCGCCACCCGCGCCGUCUCCGCGCGGCUGGGCUGUGGUCCACGUCCCUCGGCCCUCAACGCCAGCCCUCGGCCGGGGGUCACUGCCGUCCGUGUUUGCCGCCGCUUCUCCCGCUCCGCCACGGUGAAGCUCAACGGGGCCAGCGGGAUGGCUUUGCCCUCGGGGGGUCCUGCCCUCCAAGGACCCUGCCGACCCCGCCAUUCACUGGUUCUGCAAAAGGAUGCUCAAAAACGGAAAAGGACAUUUUACUGACGUUUUCCGCCUUAAAAAGAUGUGCACGAUUCACGUGGAUACAUUUGUAAGGAAUGUGAUUCUUGUCGAAAAUGUGCCCGUUAAGUCUACUCUCAGCAAGGAAUCUUUAUGGAUCUCUGCCGAAGGCAUUGGCCCAACCUGAAAGGACAACAAAUAUAUUCCUAUUGGUAAGACUUAUGUUUUUAAAACAUAAUUAUUGAAUAAAAAUUCCUCUUGGGAGAAAAAUUGAGGAUAAGUUAGGAAAU
rnacentral:lncRNA from 1 species